CUGUCACUAAAUUUCACGGAAGUGGGGCCUGCUUGAUUGUUAAUUAGACCUAAUUCAUUUAAGAUUUAUAUGAUAGUCGGAUAAAUAUUGAAAUAAAUAUAUAACAUUUACCAAAAAUGACACAUACUCCAGCUUCAGUGUGGAAAGAUCGCGAAGUGAAGUGUUCACAGUGUGGUUUCUGCGGACGGUCUUCAGCAGCAGCAGAAUCCUCGGAGAAACUGGCCUGACUCCUGCGUCUGUGACAGUGGACUCCAUUGCUUCAGUAAGAUGGAUGGUGAGUGUGUAAAGGAGCUGACAUCACAACACUUACUGGGAGGCAGCGCAAGCAGCCCCCCGGUGACCUACGAUUCAAGCCCCAGAUUAUGGUUGUUCAUUGUUUGUUUCUGCUCCUCGUGCGGCUCAGUGACACACCGCUAUCCUAACGGCACACACAAAUUAAAGCCUCGUAUCAGAUCGCAACUAAAUCUGUGAGUGAGACUUGCGUAGAGAGUCUAGUAAAAUAAAGAUUGAUUUAUUCUUUAUCUUUACCCAUUUGGUUAGUUUUCAUGACUCUUUUCAUGAAUGGCUCAUUAUUGAUAAGCUGGAGGUUUGAAAUGUGUGGCGAAUCAUCAUCAUCAUCAUCAGCGCUAAAUAUCAAUGGGCAGAAAACGUUUUAAUAUUUUAGAUAUUUAGUCAGGCGGCUGUUUGU